UACGUAGGGUGCAAGCGUUGUCCGGAGUUAUUGGGCGUAAAGAGCUUGUAGGCGGUUUGUCGCGUCUGCUGUGAAAUUUCGGGGCUCAACCCCGAACUUGCAGUGGGUACGGGCAGACUAGAGUGUGGUAGGGGAGACUGGAAUUCCUGGUGUAGCGGUGAAAUGCGCAGAUAUCAGGAGGAACACCGAUGGCGAAGGCAGGUCUCUGGGCCAUAACUGACGCUGAGAGGCGAAAGCAUGGGGAGCGAACAGG
rnacentral:rRNA from 1 species